AUGGAGAAAGAUUUUAAUAGUUUUGCUAAAUCUUCCUGGAACAAUGUUAGAUCUACCUCUUUUGUUGCAAAAACCACUUCUUUGGCAGGAUCUUUGAAAAAAUGGUGUAGGAAGAAGAAACCCUUUCAACUAGAACUGCAGGAGUUGGAGUCCCGUAUUAAUCAAAUUCAAAUGCUUCCUUGGAAACAACAAGAUCAUAAUCUGGAGCAACAACUAACCCUCAGGUAUGAGCAUGUUCUCAAUCAACUUAAUAGCUUUUAUAAGCAAAGAAGCAAGAAGGGUUGGGCUACUGGUGGUGAUCGUAAUACUAAAUUUUUUCAUCAAGCUGUUCUCAAGAGGAGGAAGAGGAAUACCAUUUGCUCUAUUAAAGAUGAAAAUGAUGUUUUGCAUUUCAGACCUGAUCUCAUUGCUAACACUUUUGUUAACUAUUUCAGAUAUAUCUUUUCGUCUCCUAAUGUUAAUUCUGGAAGACCUUUUCUUGCUUCACAGUUUCCUGACGGCUCUUUGGAUCCCACUUAUCUAAUUCCAGAUAAAAGUGAAGUAUUGCAGAUCUUGAAGGAUAUGAAGUUGAAUGCUUCGCCAGGGCCGGAUGGCUUCAAUGUUGAGUUUUAUCUAGCUGUAUGGGAUUGGAUAGGAGAUGAGGUCACCCAGUUGGUGGUUAAUUUUUAUAAAUCAGGUAUAUUGCCACCUCAUAUUAGUGACACUAACAUUGCUCUCAUUCCAAAAAAACUGGUUCCCCAGGUUCCUAUGGAUUAUCGUCCCAUUAGCCUUUGUAAUGUCAUAUACAAAAUCAUUGCCAAAUCCUUAGCUAAUCGCCUCAAGCCUCUUCUCCCUGAUUUUAUUGACCAUGCUCAACAGGCUUUUAUUGAGGGUAGAAGGAUUAGUGAUAAUAUUAUUAUUGCUCAGGAAAUCACCCAUUCUUUUGCUCUUAAAUCCUGGAAUCAACUUGCUUUCAUGCUUAAAAUUGAUCUUGCGAAAGCUUUUGAUCGUUUAGAAUGGAGCUUCAUAGUUUCAGCUCUUGCUCGUAAAGGUCUGCAUGGUCAUUUCAUAAAUUUGAUCUAUGAAUGCAUUUCCACACCCACUUUCUCUGUGGUUAUUAAUGGUAAACAUUCUCAUAAAUUUAAAAGCGCUAGGGGUAUUCGCCAAGGUUGUCCUAUGUCCCCUUAUUUGUUUGUUUUGGCCAUUAAUGAAUUGUCUCUUGCUCUUAAUGAUGCUCUGGCUGAUAAUCAUUUGCAGGGUAUUUCUCUUGGACCAGGUUGCCCUCCUAUUCAUUCUCUCUUGUUUGCAGAUGAUUUAUUAGUUUGUGGGCAAGCUUCGGUUCAAGAGGCAAAUGCUAUGGCCCAAAUUAUCCAUCAUUUCUGUUCUAUUUCUGUGCAAACUCCUAACUGGGCGAAAUCUGCCAUUAUCUUCAGCUCUCGUGUUAGUCAGGCUGUAGCUCAUGAUAUUAAGCAGAUUUUCCCUGUUUCUAACAUGGAGGCUCAUUUUUCUCAUCUGGGUCACCCUCUUAUUCUUCCUGCUAAGAAUAGAUCUGCUGCCUAUAAUUUUGUUUUAGAUAAAUUUCUGAAUAAGCUACCGGCUUACAAGGCUAACAUGCUUUCUCAUGCAGCUAGGCUUGAGUUGAUCAAAUCUGUUUUCUCUGCUAUUCCUGUUUACUAUAUGGCUAACAUUUUGUUCUCCAAAAAACUUUUAGCCAAACUCACUACUAUUAUUAGGAACUUUUGGUGGACAGGUAUUAGGGAAAAUAAUUCCACCAGGGGUUUGUGUCUUCGCGCUUGGAAGGAUAUUUGCAAUUCAAAGCAGGAAGGUGGGCUUGGUAUUAGGAAUUUGCAAGCGGUUAAUGAAGGGUUGAUUCUUGCAGCUGCUUGGCGUCUGGCUAAAGAUCCUUCCUCUCAUCUUCAUUUGGUCCUUAAAUCUAAAUAUUUCUUUGAUACUUCGAUUUGGCUGGCUAGCUCGUCCACUCCAAAAUCUGCUUUUUGGUCUGCCAUUCUUAAAAUGCUUCCAAAACUCAAAGCUCAUUCUUUCUAUCAGCUCACUCAAGGUAAUGUUUCUAUAUGGAGCACUCCCUGGUGCUCUCUUUGGACUACUGUUUAUGAUCACCUUAUUGUUCAGCCUUUAGGUUAUGUUUACCCUUCUCUUGUUAAAGAUCUUUGGGUUCCUGGAACCAAAAUUUGGGAUAAUAAUUUGAUUUUUUCUCUUUUCCGACAGCCUCUUGCUAAUGCUAUUAUUCAAACUGAUAUUAUUCAAGAGAACUGUCCGGAUAUACUUUGUUGGGAUAUAACACCUAAUGGCAAUUGUACUUCCAAAUCCACUUAUAAAUUGUGCUUGCAGGACAUUCAUGCUAAUCCUAGAUCUGCUCCUUCUCAAGUUCCUUUGCAGAUUAAAAAUCUUCUAAAGCUGAUUUGGAAGCAAAAGACAAUAAUUCCUAGAGUCAAGACUUUUGCUUGGAGGCUUCUUAGGGAGGCCCUUCCCACAGGUUUGAGAGCUGGCCGCUUUUCUCUACAUAUCUCUCAAUUUUGUUGCAGAUGUGGACAGCAAGAAGAUGAGAUGCAUUUGUUUUUUCUUUGCGACUUCGCUAGAGCUGCUUGGUUCUCUUCUCCUUGGUGCAUUAGAACGGAUGCACUAAUUCAAGCCAAUCCUACUAUUCACAGCGUUUUACAUGCUUUAAUUAACAUGAUUCAUUCCCAUGCAUCUGUGCCUAACAUUCUCAAUUUUUUGUGGUGCCUAUGGAAAGCUCGGAAUGACCAUCUUUUCAACAGGAAGAGAGCUCUUCCCUAUCAAAUUCAUAUUGCUGCUAAAGCUCUCGAUGUUGAAUUGAAUGAUAAUAUGCAUGUUUCUCUCCAAAAUAACGUUGUUUGUGUUGUGCCUACUGUUAACCAGCUACCUAUGCAGGGAAAAACAAUUAAGUCUGAUCUUCUGCUAACAGGACCAAGAGUUUACUCUGAUGCAGCUUUCAGGUGUAAAAAAAUCCCUGGUUUAACUCAAGGAAUGGUGGCUACUGGCAUCGGAGUCUACCUUUGUUUGCCACAAGAUCCGACAGAAAUCAAUGUUCAGGUUCAAGCGUCUUCUGCGGAUACAGAUUCUCCUUUGAAAGCGGAAGCUUUGGCUCUUCUCUUGGCGGCUCAAGUGGCUAAUCGCCUUAACAUUUCUCAACCUACUUUCCUCACCGACUGCCUCUCUUUGGCAUCGUUUGCUGCUUCUUCUAAGGCUUCUGAUGUUGCCAUCCCCUGGGCUAUCAGGAAAAUACUAGCUGAAUUUUUCUUCUUCUCCUCUGAUCUUCAUGCUCAGGUGUUUCACAUUUCUAGGGAGAUCAAUGGGAUUGCCCACAAUAUGGCUCAACAGGUUCUUAGGCCUUAUCUAGGACCUGACAUAUGCUGUUUUGCCUCAGCUCAUCGAAAUGGAUCUUGCCCUGUAGUUUCUCUUCUUUCCAAUUUUUAG
rnacentral:rRNA from 1 species